AGAAAGUAGUCACGCCGACCAAUUACGAUGCCGCUUCCUCCAUCUUGCUUUGGUCAUGCGCGGAAUCCUGCUUGUUUCGGUUCUUCCGCCCGCGACCAGUUAAGGGAGACGCGACGCUAAUCCCCGCCCCUCGAGGGCUCACGAUCUGGCGGGGCGGCGCCUUCCCGCUCGGAAGAAGCCUAAUUGAUGGCCCGCCCUACACAGGCCACCCGGGAGGUCACCAUUGUUUGUCUGCCAGCGAUGCUCCCUGAUCCCUUGGGGAGUUGCCAACCUACUUGUUCAAGAAAGGGUCCUUAACCCUCUGUAAGCUUUGUGACAAGGAGUUAUGCAGCAGAUUCAUUUGGACCCUCAAAGAAGAAAAGGCAAGUGGUGAACAUCAGGCAAGGAAAUGGCAAAGGCUCCCUCACCAGGGAGAGAACGAAAGCAUUUUUUAAAAAAAAAACAACCCCAAAGUUUUCCCACCAUGAAAACAGUUAAGAGCCAAAAUAUUGCUCACAUUCACAGUAUACAUUUAAAGCACUCUUAUACUACUUUAACAGUCAUGGAGAAUCCCAGGAACUAUGGUUUGUCAACAGUGCUAGGAAUUAUAGGUUUGUUGGGUCAUCACACAGAAACUACAGUUCCCAGGAUUGUUUGGGGAAAACCUGACUGUUAAAGUGGUAUAAGAGUGCUUCAUAAUGUUUUAAGGUAUGUCUGGAUGUGACCAGCGUUAACAGCCUAUCUCCUCCUGUAAGAGAGCAGAGCCUGGGGCCUGUAGCAAGUUUGGUUUCCACGAUGGAGUUCUGCAAAAUCAAGGUUGGCCAGGAGUGUAAAAUAGCCACUGGAACUGGAGUGAGAAGUGGCUGAAAGGGGGUUCUUUAGUUUCUACCGUGGUUGAAGAAGAAUGUGGCUGGAAUUAAGAUUUAUCCCAGGCAGAAAGUAGAGAACACCCAUCCCUUCACUUAAUACAGUGGUAUUUUAGGUACAUACGCUCAGGUUACAUACGCUUCAGGUUAC